AUGCAAAUGGCAAUGGUAAUGCAGCAUAUCAAAUGCUUAACGAAUUGUGAUAUUUGGCUUCCACCAUUGCCCAGUUUGGAUGGAACUCAGCGAUCUAAUGACAGGAUUGUUUUUAGGGAAUUUGUGUAUGUAACAAGAACAAGAACAUUCAGCAUACUUAAAUCAGACAGUAAACUUGGGGCACACCAGACUCACCGACAACUCCAUGUUUCACUCCCAGAGGCUCUAGAAGGAUCAAACGCGUCGACAGUACACUUGAUACUGCUACUGCUACUAGAGUGGUGGAAGGUCGAUGAUGUAGGCGAGCAUGCCGCCAUAGACGUUCAGCAGGAACUAAGACCACGACGAAGCCCCCGUUGUAAGCCAGCAACGGCAUGCCCUCCGCUUCGUGUAUGA
rnacentral:rRNA from 1 species